rnacentral:rRNA from 1 species
AUUGAACGCUGGCGGCAUGCCUUACACAUGCAAGUCGAACGGCAGCGGGGGAGAAGCUUGCUUUUCCUGCCGGCGAGUGGCGAACGGGUGAGUAAUACAUCGGAACGUGCCCUGUAGUGGGGGAUAACUAGUCGAAAGAUUAGCUAAUACCGCAUACGACCUGAGGGUGAAAGUGGGGGACCGCAAGGCCUCAUGCUAUAGGAGCGGCCGAUGUCUGGUUAGCUAGUUGGUGGGGUAAAGGCCUACCAAGGCGACGAUCAGUAGCUGGUCUGAGAGGACGAUCAGCCACACUGGGACUGAGACACGGCCCAGACUCCUACGGGAGGCAGCAGUGGGGAAUUUUGGACAAUGGGCGAAAGCCUGAUCCAGCAAUGCCGCGUGUGUGAAGAAGGUCUUCGGGUUGUAAAGCACUUUUGUCCGGAAAGAAAUGGCUCUGGUUAAUACCUGGGGUCGAUGACGGUACCGGAAGAAUAAGGACCGGCUAACUACGUGCCAGCAGCCGCCGUAA